rnacentral:misc_RNA from 1 species
UGUGGGAGCUGGCUUGCCUGCGAUAGCGGUGUUUCAGUCACAUCAAUGUUGUCUGAAAGAUUGCUAUCGCAGGCAAGCCAGCUCCCACA